rnacentral:rRNA from 1 species
AGUGAACGCUGGCGGUAGGCCUAACACAUGCAAGUCGAACGGCAGCACAGUAAGAGCUUGCUCUUACGGGUGGCGAGUGGCGGACGGGCGAGGAAUACAUCGGAAUCUACUUUUUCGUGGGGGACAACGUAGGGAAACUUACGCUAAUACCGCAUACGACCUACGGGUGAAAGCAGGGGAUCUUCGGACCUUGCGCGACUGAAUGAGCCGAUGUCGGAUUAGCUAGUUGGCGGGGUAAAGGCCCACCAAGGCGACGAUCCGUAGCUGGUCUGAGAGGAUGAUCAGCCACACUGGAACUGAGACACGGUCCAGACUCCUACGGGAGGCAGCAGUGGGGAAUAUUGGACAAUGGGCGCAAGCCUGAUCCAGCCAUACCGCGUGGGUGAAGAAGGCCUUCGGGUUGUAAAGCCCUUUUGUUGGGAAAGAAAAGCAGCAGGUUAAUACCCCGCUGUUCUGACGGUACCCAAAGAAUAAGCACCGGCUAACUUCGUG